AGAAUAAUAAAUCCUGUGUCCAAGAGUAACACUUUAGCUUAGAGCCCCAAAUCCCUGUUUAUCACAGACAUGUUGUGAGUUCUUUUGUUUUUUAAUGAUUUAAAAGAACAUACAGGAAGGAAACUUCCAGAAUAGCAGCAUAAGGAGAACCAUGGACCUUCCCCCCAGCGGAACAAUUAUAACUGGCGAAAUUUAUUAACAAAAAACAGCCAUUUAAAAUCUCUGGAAAUUUUCCUCAGGGCAUACAGCAAAUAGAAAAACAUUUAUUCAAGAAAAUCUACUAAAUGUCAGUAAGAAUAGACAGAAUCUGCAUCUGAGUUACAAUCAGCUCAGCAAGAUAGAAACUCUACUCCAGGGGGUGCCACUAAGACCACUGGGCUCCCUCUCCCCAGCUCCCAGGCUGGGGCUACAGGAUCUCACAGGAAGCCCCGAAAUACAUGAAGCAAAACUGACGGACUGAAGGGAGAAAUAGACAAUGCAUCAAUAGUAACUGGAGACUUCAGUCCCCCAAUAUUGGAGGGGAUAAUGGAUAAUGGAUAGAAAAGCAUGCAGACGAUCAACAAGGGAAUUGAAGACGACCAAUCGGUAAACCAACUAGAUGUAACACAUCUGCAGAACACUCCACCCAACAGUAGCAGAACGCUUUCUUCUCAGGUGCCGAUGGAACAUUCUCCAGGAAAAGACAUAUACUAGGCCAUAACACAAUCCCCCAAAGUUCAAAGAACUGAAAUCAUACAAACUAUGUUCUCGGGUCACAAUAAAAUGAAAUUAGAAACUAAUAAAAGAAAUUUGGGAAAUUCACAACUAUGUUAAAACCGAACACACUACGUGAAAAUUAAACACACUCUUUGGGGUAAUUCAAAUUUUCAAAAACUGUGGUGAUUGGAAAUUGUGUAAAAUAAAAAAUUAGAAAAAGUUGGGGCUGGCCCCGUGGCCGAGUGGUUAAGUUCACGCACUCCGCUGCAGGCAGCCCAGUGUUUCGUUAGUUCGAAUCCUGGGCGCGGACAUGGCACUGCUCAUCAGACCAUGCUGAGGCAGCGUCCCACAUGCCACAACUAGAAGAACCCACAACGAAGAAUACACAACUAU
rnacentral:lncRNA from 1 species